CAAUAAUAUAUCUAAGGUCAUAAGCAUUUAAAAAAAAACAUGCAGCAAUAAUAUAUCUAAGGUCAUAAGCAAGUGACAAUCAACAUACAGCAAUAAUGUAUCUAAGGUCAAAAGUAUAAACAUGCAGCAAUAAUAUAUCUAAUUUCAUAAGCAUAAACAUACAGCAAUAAUAUAUCUAAGGUCAUAAGCAUAAACAUACAGCAUUAAUAAUAUAUCUAAGGUCAUAAGCAAGAGAAAAUAAACAGGUCUUGUAUAAGAAUAUUAACAGUAUCCAGGACAAGUUUGCAAUUCCGCUGAGUGCAAAAGUUGUCACCUUAAUUUUUGGAGUUUAAGUCAAAAUGAAGUUGAUAACUUGAUUGGUAUUGGUUCUCUGAUAUUUGUCCUAAAAAUGUUUGGCUCUAGCACCACUGUUGAAAAAGUAAUGCCCCUUUUUUCAACAAUUUCCUCAGAGGAAAAAGAGUUUUCCUCAAGGGAAAAAGAUUUCCCUUAGGGAAUUUGCUGCAUAAUUAUUUCCUUUGAGGAAAUUCUUUUUCUUUUGAGGAAAUUUGCCGCUUCAAAUUUUCCUUUGAGGAAAUUUCCUCUAAGGAAAUCAUUGUUCUUCAAAUUUCCUCUAAGGAAAUUUCUGAACAUCAAAUUUCCCUUAAGGAAAUGUUUUUCCUCUAUAAAAAUUUCAUAACAGUACAAACAUUGACAAACAGUAUAAAUAUAUUUUCUCCUAGACUGAAUUAUUGAUCAUGUUGAUACAAAAGAUUAUAUAAAAUAAACACUUUUCAUGUCAAAUUAACUUGUCUUCUGUUUCAGCUGCUGUGUAUAAUUAUUCUACCCCCUACAUAACAGUUCAGUGCAUAAAUAAUUCCAUUCACAAGACAUCUUCCUUCAAUUGGUUGAAUAAAUUUUGGCAACUUGUUCUUCAAACAUCUUCUCUGUAUAUUUGAUAUGAUGGAGAGCCAUGUACAUAAUAUUAUGUACAUGAAUGGAUAACGCAUGUGUUUAUUUCGACAACAAACAUGACAAAGAUACUAUUUUUUUUCUUAAUUUCUCCAUAAUCCAUCAGUGAAUAUGUAGGUUGUUACAUUUUACACCAUUGUGUUCUUGUGCAUCUUUGAUAGUACUCCAUUUUGU
rnacentral:lncRNA from 1 species